GACGAACGCUGGCGGCGUGCUUAACACAUGCAAGUCGAACGGAAAGGCCCUGCUUUUGUGGGGUGCUCGAGUGGCGAACGGGUGAGUAACACGUGAGUAACCUGCCCUUGACUUUGGGAUAACUUCAGGAAACUGGGGCUAAUACCGGAUAGGAGCUCCUGCUGCAUGGUGGGGGUUGGAAAGUUUCGGCGGUUGGGGAUGGACUCGCGGCUUAUCAGCUUGUUGGUGGGGUAGUGGCUUACCAAGGCUUUGACGGGUAGCCGGCCUGCGAGGGUGAACGGCCACAUUGGGACUGAGAUACGGCCCAGACUCCUACGGGAGGCAGCAGUGGGGAAUAUUGCACAAUGGGCGGAAGCCUGAUGCAGCAACGCCGCGUGCGGGAUGACGGCCUUCGGGUUGUAAACCGCUUUCGCCUGUGACGAAGCGUGAGUGACGGUAAUGGGUAAAGAAGCACCGGCUAACUACGUG
rnacentral:rRNA from 1 species